CUGAGAUUGCCUGCAGAGCAGUCCGAUCUCAUUACCAAGGAGAUCUCGGAACUUCGGCUCAAACGGGCAAUACAGGAAGUCCCGUACGACCACCCGGGGUUCCUAAGCAACCUGUUCCUUGUUGCCAAGAAGGGUGGAGGUGUUCGACCGGUAAUAAAUCUCAAACACCUCAACGGAUUCCUCCACUACCAUCACUUCAAGAUGGAAGGCAUUCAUUGCCUCAGGGACCUGCUUCGGCAAGGAGAUUGGAUGGUCAAACUGGACCUCAAAGAUGCCUAUUUGACUAUUCCAAUGGCAGAGGAACACUGGGACUUAUUGCACUUUACGUGGCAAGGACGUCGAUGGAGGUUUACUUGUCUGCC